GCGGAAGUGCCUGGCUGGGCACGCGCGGAGUGCCAGGUGACGCAGCUGGCGGUGUGCGCGUCGGCGAUCCUGGGCGGGACGAAGCCCAGCGGCGAGUGCUGCGGCAACCUCCGGGCGCAGCAGGGGUGCUUCUGCCAGUACGUCAAGGACCCCAACUACGGGCACUACGUCAACAGCCCCCACGCCCGCGAGACACUCCAGACCUGCGGCAUCGCCCUCCCGCACUGCUAGGCCUCCUAGCCGACCGAGUCUACUCUGCUACGCUAGUUACUCUAGCUGAGUAAGUGCUGUGGUACGCAAGUAUAUGUUGGUAUGUUGGAAUAAAACGAUGGUGAUCUACGGCGUCAGGCUGCUGGCCGGUGAACUUGUGUUGGGGCUUGCAUAGGAUCCAUUGAUUUGUCUCACUAUCACUGCUCAGAUUGUCUACAGUCAGAUUUGGAAAUCCACCCCGUUCCCCUAAAUGUCCGCCGACGCGUUCGGACGUUGUCUCUGGAUAACGCCAGACGACCCCUCAUGUGUCCUUCCCGAGAGGCACUGUCCUUAUAUCUAAACCCUCAAAUUCAUCUAAUCUAUGCACGUGGAUCAUAUAGUAUAAAUUGUUCACCAAUUCAACAAUGUAACAAAGCAAAAUAAACCACAAUUCAACAAUCCGGACAUGGCAAAAAUAAAAUUCAACGUCCGAGCCACGACUGGACAAUCUGAUGAAUCACUCGUUGGAUGUCAUCCGUGUCGUGUGAUCUGCCGCCAUUCGUGGCUCAUGCGCUGCCUCGUAAUCUCUAUGCAUGUUGAUCUCCUUCUUCCUCUCCUCAAGCCACUUCUUGCCUUCCGCACCCAACAGGCCUGCGUCCGCCAACAUUAUCAUAAAAUUCUUGGUGUCUCGAGCAAAUUGCAACCUCUCCUCAAUCUCUAUUGAUCAAAAGUCCAGGCCUUCUCGAACUCCCAUUUGGGACACGCCUCCUUCUCCAACUAUCUUCUCCCUCUCAAUUUCCAACUUGUUGCUUUCAAUUUGCAACUUAUUCACUACUAGGGAAAAGCUUAUAGGCAGACGCUUACUAGUAGCGUGGAUUUAUACCCCUCGCUAUUGCUACUUACUAGUAGCGCGAGUUUAUAACCCCCGCUACUGCUAAGUCGAUAGUAGUAGCGCGGGUUUAUAACCCUCGCUACUACUAAGUGGUCUCUGCCAUGCCCCCCGACAUACCAUAGUAGCAGCAAGGGGUAUAAACCCGCGCUACUGCUAAGUUGAUAGUGGUAGCGCGGGUUUAUAACCCUCGCUACUACUAAGUGGUCUCCACCGUGCGCCACCCGGGACAUGCCAUAGUAGUAGCGAGGGGUAUAAACCCGCGCUACUACUAUCGACCCACCAAGACAUGUGUACACAUAGCGUGCGGAGGCCCAAAUCCAAACCCACACUCUUCUGAUUCCCCUUCUCUUCCCACCCGCGAUUCCCUUGCUCACCCACCGCCACUACCGGCCUCGCACCUCGGCGCCACUCACAAAUCUGACGACCUCCUCUCGCACUGCAGACCCCUCCCCCUCCAUCAUCCUUCUUCUCCGCUGUUGGAAGGAGAGGGAAACCAGCAGAGCGUCGUCCAUGGUGGCGGCCAGAUCCGCCAUGGACGUAGCCACUUACACCUCCUCGCCGGGUCAAGGGUCCCACGACAAGCAGCAGCAGGUCACCAGGCUUCAUCUAGGGUUUCGGGUGUCGGCUCCAACUCCGGCGGCCACCGGUGAGUUCCUCCUCCUACUGCUCUCUAUCUCUCUCUUCCUCUUUCUAAUAAUUUUCUCUUCUUUUAUAGCAGCAGUAGAAGAGAGGUGCGGGCACAAGUUGGGUGGGGAAGCACCAUCACCAUGGACAACUUCAUCCCCUCCAGGACCGGUAGCAGCCAUGGAUGGAGAGGACGAUGACGCCCAACAGAAGCAGCCUCCAUGGAUGGAAUUUUUUUUUAAUUCUCAAUUAGUUAGUAGUACCGCGGGGCCUUGACCCGCGCUACAACUAAGUAGCAGUAGCGCGGGUGGCAAUCGUGCUACUACCACUAGAAGUAGCAGUAGCGCGGGUACCACCCGCGCUACUGCUAAAAGUUAGUUGUAGCGCCCUAGCUGUAGCGCAGCCCCCGCGCUACUGCUAGGGAAUUACCCCCGCGCUACUACUAGGGUUUUCCCUAGUAGUGAUUGUUCAUCUUCUCCCGGUUCCAAUCCAUCCUCUCUUUCUACAGAUUCAAUAUGCGCUUGUACCCAUCCUCUUUCUUGUCAAUCCUUAUGGAAAAAUGCAUGUCCAUGUGGUGGACAUUUUUUACGUCGCAGCAUCACGAAUGAUCCUACCCUUAUCUCACUUGUUUCACUUUACUUGCCGGUUAUUCAUUGCCACGGUGACUCUUUCAUUACCCAAUGGAACUUCUUCCUCUUCCUUAUGCAAUCCAAUGGACUGGUGGGAGCUUGAGCCAUCAUUUGUCUUUAAUUUCUUGUUGCCUUUCUUGAGGUCAUCCACUACUUUUAUCCACUUUGUUUGGCCAUUAAAUUUUAUCAAAAAUGGCUAAAAUUGAAUGGCUUCUUCUCUGUUUGUUGGUACAAAGUGGCCGCCAACACCAUCUAUAUAAAAAAGUUAUCAUGAUAACCCGACAUAAAAAAAUAGCAAUGCAAAUUGUGACAAAGAAAAUCAAUUCAACUCACAUGACUUUGGACUCCAAUCGCACUUUGAUUCCGGCCACGCACAGAAGCAUAGUGGCCAACAAACUUGUUGACGUGAUCUUCGAUGGUGGACCUUCUAUGUUGGAGAGACGACACAUUACAGGUGGUAUUGUUAGGAUUCGGCUCCACGUAUUCCUUGUGUUCAUUAUAGUGCUUGUGGAUUUUCUCCCAAUACUUGUUAGCCUUCUGCUCUUUGCCACUUAUGGGGUCCAAGCUUAUCGCCAACCAAGAUUUAACCAACAGAACAACCUCAAUUGUUGUGAAUGUCGUACCUAUUGCCUUGCUUUUCUUUGCCCUUUUCUUCUUAGUGCUCGAUGUGCCCCAACAUAAAAAGUAGGAUAAUUUGGAUCCCACAAGGCACAUACUCCAUAGGGUCCGUAGGCUCUUGCCCCUCAUUGAUCAUGUUUGACAUGAAGUUUUCCUAAAAUAAUCAUGAUUCCAAAUAAACUAACGUAAUAUGCAACUACUUGAUUCAAUGGGAUAUGCAACUAACUAAUCCACAACAUCAUAGUUAAUAUAACGAAUGAACCAGUAGAAAAUGGAGCAAAAUUUGUACUGUCUCCUGACGGAUCAUUUCGUCCAACAGGAACCGGGCAGAUUAGGCAUUCUGUCUCCAUGGACGAAUUUUUCUAUGAUCUUUGUUGAGAUCAAAGUUUAUGUUAAUUCCCAUCGUAUCGCGACAACUGCUUAGCGGGGCCGGUAUGGUCCACCAAUAACGGAGUCACAUCCGGCAGAUCUCGGGUAGCGAGUCCCGAGCUAAGUGUGGCCCACCAAUGACAGACUAAAAUCCAGUAGAUCUCGGGUAGGGGGUCCUAAGCUAAGUGUCUCAACGCGGUGGUAAUGUGUGCACGGGUUUUCGCACAGGUUCGGGCUCUCCUAAGAGAUAAAUCCCUACGUCUUGUUGUACUACUUUGGGAUGAAUUACAAGGUUUCGGUGAUCUACCUUGACAUUGUUGUGUGUUUCUAGAUUUGAUGAUGUAAGUUGCGUUCUAUUGUCUAGCCCAGCCUCGGCUUAUAUACGAAUAUCGGAUGACUAGGAUUAGAGGAGUCCAAAUCGCCUAUGUUGUUGGAGAAGAGUCCUCCACGGAUAAGGAGUGCUUGAACGACAAGACUUCUUGAUUUUCCUUGGAGAUCGCCAUGGGCCGCCCAAAGUGGCCCAGGACAGAACCGACAAGGGGGUCCUUAGCGAGGCUCACCUGGCCGGGAGUCAUCAUGGUGAGAGGCCCUCUAGCCAGGACACCGUCACUCAGGGCGUAUGUGUUGGGAAAAGUAGUAGAAAAAAAGAAGAUGUGUCGGUGUAGAUCGCACUGGGAGUUCCUCGGUCCCUUCAAGGGAAGACCGAAAGCGCGACCUCUCUACAAGUUACAAGUGUACAGUCUUCACGAUCCAGCAUCGCUUUGCCAUCUAGAGCUAAUUGUCGCCGGAGAAUUAGAGGAAGGAGAUUAGAACCACAUUGGGCUUCUAAUUAUAAGGAUUAGAGGAUCUAGCUCUAGCUCUAAUUGAUCAACUAGGACCAACUAGAAGUAGAACUAGAGAAUUAGAGGAGGCUCUAAAACUUGUCUCUCUCAAUGGGGAAAAUCCUCUAGUAUAUAUAGGUUUGAGGGGAGAGGAGGGGCGCCAUACAUGGGUGAAAGGGCUCCCCCCUUGUGCUGGCCUAGAGGGGGAGGAGGAGUCCUCCCCCUAGUCCAAUUCGGCCUCCCCAAAUGGGAAAGGGGGCGCCUCCCCAUUUGGGCCCUUGUGGCCCGAUCCUCCUUCCACUUCUUGGCCUUUUAAUACCUGUAAAAGCCUCCUAGUAAUUACUAGAGCCUUUUAUUAUUAAUUUAACAUCUCUGGAAACAUUUUUCCACCUAUAUAUUAUUUAUCGGUAAUACCCGGUAUUGCCCGAUAAACUCUGAAAUCCUUUCGGUGACUCUAAAACUCUUCCGGUACCUCUCGAAACUAUUUCUAAUACUAAGAAACUAUUUUAAGAAUAAAUCCUCGAUACUCAAGUCCUACUAACACUCUGCAAAUCGUAAUUACAUUAAGCGUGUGACCCUGUAGGUUUGGUUAAACAUAUACAUGAACAAAAACCCCUUUGUUCAAAGACCGAUAGCGGAAACAUGGGCGUAUGUAUCGAUUCCUAUGAGUACAUGAAUGAUAUUCGAGCGAACCUUUGGUUAUCAUGUGUUAUUCCUUUUGCUUCGCAACAAUGUACAAAACCCGAGAUGUAUCUGUAUCUUCUUGAGUCAUACACGUGCUCACUAUACCGAUCUUCUCGUUACCAGUUUUCUUCUUCUUUCUCAUUAAUAUGUUCCAGCAUCCCUGUGACAUAGUCACCUGUGUCUGACCAAACGAUGAUAUAUGCCAUCACACCGAGAGGGACCUAAGAAUUUAUCUCCGUCAUCGAAGGAGAAAAUUCCACUCACGAGUUAUCUAGUCCCUUGUCAAACUUUCAGAUGAACAUGUAAGUUUUUGUGAUGAUCAUCGACGUUUGAGCAAUCCCAAAGUCCGCCCUACGGUAAGAAGUGACUACGAUUAUCUCAUGGUCUAAGGAACUAAAACACAUGUUAACACUUCAUGUUAUAAUAAUUGCUUUCAGAACAUAUCAACUCAAAGUAUAACAAACAAGUUUGGGUCGAUUCAACAUGGUCGUUCUUCUAACGUCAUACUCUGUUUUUUUAGGACUAUCGUUACACUUAACGAUAUCCUAAGAUCUGGAAAACAUGAUCACCAACAACACUUGAGCUAGUCUUAGAGGCGAGAUUAGGAAUCUUAUUUUACCUUUUGUCAUUCCACACGUGCAUAUUAGUUUUUCACUGGAUCGCACAUUUCAGGAUCAUCACAGUUAUAGCGUAGAAUAUAAACUCUUAAUCAUGAAUAUGAAAAUACAAUAUUAUUGCUUCUAGUGCAUAGUUCCAACACCAGUAGGCCUCGUGGCGGCCUUGUCACAGCGGUCGGUGCAAGGACCCAUCUUGAAGAUAAAUUAUAAUCUUGGCAUGCAAGCCAAGAACCCUCAUGGCAAGGUCGGUUAGGAUUCCUAUAAAACCUAGCUCUUGCUGCCCAUUCAUAAGGCGAGACUAGGGUUAGUUCGAGGCAUUUGUUCCAUUCUACAGACCUCGAUAGUACUCAUCAUCCUCCACGUGUAACCCCCUCGCACGAGGUGCUCCCACAUAUCAAUCCAAAACAAACUAGGAGUAGAAUAUUACCUUGAUCAUGAAGGCCUGAACCUGGGUAAAACGACCCAUGCAAACUCCCUUCUAGUACUUCCGGCUACGCUCUCCAGCCUACUGAGGGCACUGGCGGUUUUCUGCACCAUCAAUUAAUUAAACAUACAAAAGUAAUUACCAUAAAAAUGGUGUAAAUGUUUCAUUGUGAAUGGAACUUAAUUCGUUGAUAUGAUGGACACCAUAAGUUUUGUAAAAUGUAGAAGUUAAUUACUUAGUUUUGAAGCAUCGUCGACAUCUGGCAAUCUUAAAAUUGCUAAUCACAUAUGUUGAUUCAAUCAUGUGCCUUACAAUAAAACAUAUACCAACAAAAACUGCAUACCUAAAAGCUAAAACAAAAAAACCAUUUGGGCCAAAAUAAGCCCAAUGGAAGUGGCACAGUCCACUUCCUUUUUCGUUUUUCUAAUUUUUGGGGAAAGGGGGGACGUGGGCUGCAACCCACUUGAUCUUAUCACCCGGGUUGUUAGGGUUGGGGUUGCCAAACACUUGUACCGAUGAGGGGUCCUAGUCUGCGAUUUCAGUAUUGGGAACUCUCUUGGCGCCCACCACUGCUCUUUUCGCUUGUUCCCACAUGUCAUAUGUCGUUCGAUCCAGUUUUUUAUCUGCUCGAUUUUCUUCUCCCUGCUCUCUUACAUUUCAUGAACUUCAAAAAAUAUGAAAAAUAAAAAAAUGAAUUAGAAAUAGUUCAGAGGGUAGAUUAUUGACCAGCUGACCGUUAACCUUUCAUCUCUGACCAGAUCCUUUGUCCGUAGUUUUUUUUGGAAAAAAUCAUGUAUAUGAGAAAAAUAUCACAAAAAUUGACAAAAGAUCAUAAGUUUGAAAGAAGUUUGUAAAAUUUAAAAAAUCCAUGAUUCUAGUUUGGAAUUUUUUCAUAGAUUUGAAAUUGUUCAUAAAGUUAAGAAAAAUUUCACGGGUUUAAAAAUAAAGUUCAUCAAUUUGGAAAAAAAUAUUGAUUCGGAAUUGGAGAAAACAUCAUGAAUUCAAAUAAUGUUCACAAACUUGUGAAAAAUAUCUUGAAUUUGAAAAAAUUUCAUAGGUUCAAGGAAAGUUCACGAAUUUGAAAAGAAAAGUUCAAGAAUUUUGAAAGAAUCCCAAUUUGGGAAAGUUUAUGAAUUUAUUUUUUCUAUUUUCUUAAAAGUUCAUGCAUCUGAAAAAAUGAAAAAUGAAAACAGAAAAACCGUAAAAAUGGUCCAAAGCUUGAAAAAGCUUCCAAAAACCGGGACGAGUGACUCCCGCAAAAGUGCAUUACGUGGGCUGGCCGAACUGCUUGGGUAGUGAGCGUCGCAUAUGAACAGAACAUUAUCUGGUACGUUAAGCGUCAUAUAGGAUUUGUGUCUCCCGAUCCCCUUCUCCCUAUUGUUCGCCAUUAAGAUUUGUUUCAUAUGAGUUACCAAAGAGGCAACGAGACAAUAAUCAUUGUAAGUUGUACACCAUAUUCUCAUUAUUUCUUCACAAGGCUUUUGAGGGUGUUUCGGCUACUUAUCAAAUAUAUUUUUUCUCACAUUUUUCCUAUGGUUUUUUGGGUGAAAUUCUGAUAAUUAUACAAACGAUUCGAGAUAGUACAUAAAAACAAGAAUAUUCGUUGUAUAGGGAGGAGCUAGUGUGAAUUGUACGAUUCUUGGUUACAUCGCAUUGCACACNNNNNNNNNNNNNNNNNNNNNNNNNNNNNNNNNNNNNNNNNNNNNNNNNNNNNNNNNNNNNNNNNNNNNNNNNNNNNNNNNNNNNNNNNNNNNNNNNNNNNNNNNNNNNNNNNNNNNNNNNNNNNNNNNNNNNNNNNNNNNNNNNNNNNNNNNNNNNNNNNNNNNNNNNNNNNNNNNNNNNNNNNNNNNNNNNNNNNNNNNNNNNNNNNNNNNNNNNNNNNNNNNNNNNNNNNNNNNNNNNNNNNNNNNNNNNNNNNNNNNNNNNNNNNNNNNNNNNNNNNNNNNNNNNNNACUAAUGGCACAACCACAAGAUGGCAUAAACAUGAUGCCCAGAGUAGAGAGGAAUGUGACGCUUGGUAAAACAGAAGCUGCAACACUGCGCAAAACUACCCAAGCAAAGAACAUGUCCCAAAUAUCAAAAUCUAUCGCUGGGCAUGCCACGAGCAAUCAAGACGAUGCCUUCAUGAAGAAAAACAAUGCCGUGACACACAAGCUUUGCAUAUUUAUGAAAAAUGUAUAUGGUUAAGUGCUCUUUUUUUGCUUAUAUUGCUUAAGCAACAGUAUGUGUAGUUCAACCCAGGUGUAUAUGUAUAUCCCGCCAAUUAUAUCGUCAAUAACGAUUAUGAAUCCAUCCAUUCAUCUAUCUCUCACACUCUUUAGUUUUCGCUUGUAACACGACCGAAGAGACUAGCGCACCACAACCAUAAACCAAUGUUGGCCUCUUGUGACCUUUCGAUUGCGCCCCGCAAUGCAGGUGGUGUUGCUGCGUUAUGCUGUCUCAAAUGUGCGGAGCCUUUCGAUUGUGUCGAUGGUGCAGUGUCAUGGUCUUGUCUGCUAGGCGAUGCCGACUUCGCCCGUGGCACACAGGCGCCGUGGCGUCGUCUCGGCCUCGCGUGACCUUUCGUAUGCACCCUCGGCACAGGUGGUGUCGUGGCGUUGUGCAGUCUUUGAUGUGUGAAGCCUUUUGAAUGCGUCGAUGGUGCGGUGUCCUGGCUUGCUCGGCUGGCCAAUGCCGUUCGAUCACAUUGGUGGUGCUCUGUGUUGUGUUGGGUUGUGUCUUCCCUCUUUGUUGGUAUGUUGUGGUGUGUGUUGUUUUUGCUUUAUCUCUCCUCCUCCUGUUCCCCUGUAAUUCUGCUGCACUUGAACCUAAAAGGCAGUGGGGCGGUCACCUACCUUUGGAUGCCUCGCAUGAAUUCAAUGAACUCGUCCGCUAGCUUCCGCGUACCACCCACCGAGCAGAGCCAGCGAGCAACCAACACCGGCCAACUACCCACUGGAGUUGAAUGCAGGACGUCCAAAGUAAUGCAGGACGUCCAAAGUGUGCCCGUAAACCAUUCUGCUGACCGUAGUCAUGGCGAGCUGGUGCAAUUCAGUGCAUGCUCUAGCUGUAGGGUAGAGUGUUCAACUGAUUGUUACAGCGGCCGUGGGCGAUUCAUUAGACGGCUCCCGGCAGGUGAGUGGUUCGUUUGCAGUGAUGGACGUCCUCGCAUUUCACUUAUUGCCCCUGCAUCUUUCUUUAAUCGCUCACCUGCUCCGUCGGCGGCGAUGGCCGCGUACGCUCCCUACGUGUCGCCGCAUGGCAUGCACAUGGCCGGCUCGGGCCACGGCGAUGCGUGGCUAGCUAUAAAUAGCCCAGCCGGGAGCUCCUAGAUCGAUCUCCACACAACUACCAGUACACUCCACUCCCAUCACACACACGGACACACCUGCGAGAGCGUGAGCCAUGGCGUCCAUGGGGAAGAAGCAGGUGGUGGCGGCGCUGAUGCUGGUGCUGGUGGUGCUGGCGGCGGCGCCGGGCGGGGCGCACGCGGCGUGCCAGGCGUCACAGCUGGCGGUGUGCGCUUCGGCGAUCCUGUCCGGGGCCAAGCCGAGCGGCGAGUGCUGCGGCAACCUGCGGGCGCAGCAGCCGUGCUUCUGCCAGUACGCCAAGGACCCCACCUACGGGCAGUACAUCCGCAGCCCCCACGCGCGCGACACCCUCCAGUCCUGCGGCCUCGCCGUCCCGCACUGCUAGGCGCCGGCAGGCCCCUGGCGCACAUGGCAAGCUAGCUGCCUCAGUGACCAUGAGAGCGUCAGACUAUAGCUAGCCUAUCUGAGUGCCUACGUGUUGCGUCCAUGAAAGCAUCUUCCUGUCAACCAUGUGGUUCGACUUUGAUGAUGCUGGAAUAAAAAUAUAAAAUGUUGGGUGAUGAUCUACGGCAGCCAUGUUGCUUCUUGGCUGCUGCUGCUGGUAAUAAAAUUUGUGUUGCAACUUGAUGAGAUCGGCUGAGUUGUGUUCAGUGACCAAACCAAACUGCCCCUAUCAUAGAAUUGGUAAAUCUAGUGGUGCGGUAUGUAACGGCGAAGAAUCAACCGUUAGUGUUAUGGUCAAGAAUGGUGCAGUGACUAGGUACAAGAGGUUUGAAUGGAAUACAUAGAAAUGCUUGUGGGCCCUCUGCAUGCACCAUAACUUUUUUCAAGUCACAGUGAAGGGGGGAAUGAUUGCAUGUAUGCUAAGUAUUCUUUCUCUCUAUCCUGUACAACAUACUUUUAUUUUAUUUUUUAAACGAAUUUCUUAUAGAUCUUCCCUAAAUCAAAAGAAUGUUCUCAUUUUUUAGUAAUAUUUCAAUUCACAGCGAGAAGAUCUUCGAAACAAAACAAAUCAUUGAUAAAAACAUGAACCAGUUUUUAUUUUAUUGUUGCUAUCCCAUUUGAACUAGUUUUAGUAAUUUACUCUUUCAAUUGUAUUUGAAAUCAUUGUCACAUAUUUAAAAAACCAUUUCAUAGAUUAAAAAUUAUUAGUUUCACACACUGAAAUAAACAUUUUAGGAAAAUAUAAGUAAGUUUCAAACAAAAAAAUAUGUUUUAUAUAUUAAAUUAUAAGUUCAAAUACUGAAAUAAGAAACUUCAGAAAAUACAAAUAUUUUUCUCAUUAUAUAGUUAUUUACAGCUAGCUAGCAGAACAACUAGAACCCUAGCUGGGCAUAUUGGUUGGCUUCGGUGUGCUCUGCCUACGGCACAAAAGUUGGCGAUCAGCACUUGGAUGCGCGCAAAAUGCUGGACUUGCAUAAAAUUUUGUAUGGGUUCGACCUUGAAUCUACAAAGGGUGUGUCGUCACAUAUAUCCUCCCCCACACCCCACCCCGCCAACAAAAAAGUCAUAUUUCGCGCAUAUAGGCAAACUAGAUGAUAUCCCGCGCGUUGCUGCGGGAAUCAGUUGCAACAUAUAUCAAUAGAAUAUAGCUACAUGAAACAUUAAUAUUUAGAUUAAUUAUAUGAGAACUAAAACUGAAUUAAUAUAAGUAAUCUUUUCCCAUGCACUGUUGCAUGUACAUGUUGCACUUUACCCAUGCAUGAUUGCACAUUAAGGUGGCAUAGUUGCAUGUUGAGAGAAAUAUAUUAGUGGGAUCACCUACUUAGUUAUAGUAGUAUAUAACAUUAGUAUCCAUAUAAUAUAGAUUUUGAAACCAAAUGGUAAUAUCACUCAACUGUUAGAAAUGUUGAUUGAAAAAUGAUAAAUCGAUAGCAUGUAAUGGACAAAUGCAGAAAUUAAUAUAUAUUCUAUUUAGCACGUGAACAGCUUGAUUGAUUGACAUUUGCAGAUGUGUAGAAAAAGGUAAUAUUGAUAAGUUGGUCAAAUCUGGCAGUCUACCAGUGUAGCACAAACUAAUUCGUGCACAUUGCCCUGUUUGGUCCACAUCGAUAAUUAACCAAUCUAGGCGACAUAAUUAUUUUUUAAUUGGUCUUGCAAUAAUACUACCCAAUCAGAUACACAAAUUAAAUAAAAUUGCAUGCAUAUACUUUUGUUUCUAGUAUAACCAUCUCACUCAAGUAAAAAAAAAAUACCAAACUUGUCUCAUUAGGCAGGCCGCAUGCCAUCGAAUGGGUGUAGUGCAACAACAUAUGGAUUAAUCAUGGAGUGGCAAGCUUAAAAAAAGGUACAAAAAGACCAAUUAGGCAGCAGCAAAAAUUCGUCGCCUAGAGGUAGCAACGCAUUAGGAGUCUGAUCCAUGCAAACUGUAGUGAUUCAAUACAGAAAAGGAAACAGUCAGGCCGAGAUAAAUUGAAUGAGUAACUGAACAAAAAAAGGAUGUGUUUUUACCUAGUACUUGUACCACGUAUUAGAAGGGGAGCAAACGCCAUGGCCAUCAACAAAUGUUACGGUUUAAAAAGCACGCAUGUGUUUUGCAGGUCCACAUUAUCCCAAUAAUUUAUAGAGAAAACAGAUAUGAGGGAAACCUUUUGAUCUGACGUAGAGCGACCAUGACAGCUAUAGCACCAGAGUAGUGGCCACUGUAUGUCUCCAUUGCCAACGACCAGGAUCUGAAGGGGAUGCAAGCACACAGUGAAUCCAGAAGCGAGUAACGAUUCAAUGCCAAGACGAAUUACCUGAGGGGAAGUUAGGGGGUAAACAUGUUAGAGAAUUCACAUCUGAUCUUUUGAAGCCGGAGUAGAAGUUUGCCAGCAUCACCUGCGGCGCACAGAACAUGGGAAGGGAAGUGCCUCGGUGUUGAUCACAUAUGAGGAAGAUCCAUAGAGGGGUUCGCUAGGCUUGUGGACGGUGGCGAACCGGCGGCUGACCGCUCCACUACCUUGUUGCUUUCAUGGCUGCAUGUGAUGUACUUAUGGGAGGACGAAACGGCUGGGGGAUUGAUGGGAUAGUGAAACCACAGGCUGCUAAAAUUCUUUGGGACCAUAAAUGUCACGGUUAACUAUUGGAUUUCGGAGCAAAUCUAGUGCGCUCCAGUAAUCAGAAGCUGAAAGGAAGUUGUAUUUUCACCACUACUAGAAAAAAGGCUGUUAGUGGCGCAUCAGUUUUUUCUAUUAAUGGCGCACUAUAGGUGCGUCAUUAUUAACAAAUAGUAAUGGCGCACCAGAAGUGCGCCGUUACUAUCACAGAUACUAAUGGCACACCUAUAAUGCAUCAUUACAGUGCCUAGAAGUGCGCCAUUACUAUCUGACUUAGUAAUGGCGCACCACAUAGAAGUGCACCAUUACUAACAAAUUUUUUUCAAAUUUUUUUUAGGAAAAAAAUUUUCAACUUUUUUUCAGAAUUUUUUUUUUUCGUUUUUUUCUUAAUCUCGGGUCACUAUGGCUUAAUCUCAGGUCAAUAUGCUUAAUUUCAAGUCAAAUCGCACUCCGUGGUCAAACUUCCCGGAAAGUCACCCAUCCUCACAUUACUCCAGCCCGAGCACACUUAACUUUAGAGUUCUAUCCAACCCCAGCAUCAGCUCACUUAACAGGCACUUGUUGAUAUAUCUAUCAUAUCAAUCCUAUUAAACCUUUUUUGACAUUUCCAUCAUUUUCUUUUAUUUUUUCUAAAACUGAAAAGGCGGUCCAGGGGGUGUGUGUGUGUGCAUUUGGUGAAAUUUUCGGCCACCUAGAAAGUUAGUAAUGGCGCACCUUCGCAAAGUGCGCCAUUACUAUGUGUAUGACUUGGGCAAACCUUGGUCAAAGUUGGUAAUGGCGCACUUUGUGUAGGUGCGCCAUUACUAAGUUUGACAUAGUAAUGGCGCACCUAUGCAAAGUGCGCCAUUACUAAGUUUGACCAAGGUUUGACCCAGUCAUACACNNNNNNNNNNNNNNNNNNNNNNNNNNNNNNNNNNNNNNNNNNNNNNNNNNNNNNNNNNNNNNNNNNNNNNNNNNNNNNNNNNNNNNNNNNNNNNNNNNNNNNNNNNNNNNNNNNNNNNNNNNNNNNNNNNNNNNNNNNNNNNNNNNNNNNNNNNNNNNNNNNNNNNNNNNNNNNNNNNNNNNNNNNNNNNNNNNNNNNNNNNNNNNNNNNNNNNNNNNNNNNNNNNNNNNNNNNNNNNNNNNNNNNNNNNNNNNNNNNNNNNNNNNNNNNNNNNNNNNNNNNNNNNNNNNNNNNNNNNNNNNNNNNNNNNNNNNNNNNNNNNNNNNNNNNNNNNNNNNNNNNNNNNNNNNNNNNNNNNNNNNNNNNNNNNNNNNNNNNNNNNNNNNNNNNNNNNNNNNNNNNNNNNNNNNNNNNNNNNNNNNNNNNNNNNNNNNNNNNNNNNNNNNNNNNNNNNNNNNNNNNNNNNUGUGAAGGUGCGCCAUUACUAUGUCAACUUAGUAAUGGCGCACCUAUACAAAGUGCGCCAUUACUAUGUGUAUGACUGGGUCAAACCUUGGUCAAACUUAGUAAUGGCGCACUUUUCACCUGGUGCGCCAUUAGUAAUAUGGCCAUUAAUGGCGUACCUAUAUCUGGUGCGCUACUGCUAUAUAGCAGUGGCGCACCACAUACAUGGUGCGCCAUUAAUGUUCAUAUUAGCUAUAGCCGUUUUUCUAGUAGUGCACCGUGGGAACACUUCAUGACAUGGCUUGAUGUGGUGUUAUGCAUGUGCAAAAUUAGUGGUCGAACUGAACUGAUGAUGUGGAGGGCCUGCAUGUCAAGAGAAAUGAGGUACUGGGGAGCUCCUAUUUAGAUAUAGUAGAUUGGAACAGAGCAUUAUGGUUGGGUAUAACUUGCGAAUGAAAACUGCGUUUCAUUAAAAGUGACAUGGCGGGAGAGAACUACACGACCUGUGGGUAGAUGUAGGCAGCGAUAGUCUUUGUGGGAGUCAGAAUAAGCGAGAAAGACACACAACAAGGUUCUGGGGGAGAGUUUGUUAUCAGAACUUGCGGCUAGAUUUGGGAAACACGGACAGCCAAAAAUACGUAGAUCGGCGUAGGUUAGCUGAGCGAGGAAGAGGGACUGCAAGGGGAGAAACGCGGGCAAGUUUUUGUGGGCCAAAUAUUUAGUAAAUAGGUGGCAUAGCGAAGGGCUUCAACUUAAUAUUGAGGAGGCAUGGAGGCUUGAAGCAGAAGAAUGCGGAGAAUAUUGUUGAUAGAGCGAAGAGAACGUUCAGCUUUUUCGUUUUGGGGCGAGGUAUAGGGGUAAGAGAAUCGUAGAAGAAUACCAUGGUGAAGGAAGAAAUCACGGUUGCGUGAGUUAUCGAACUCACUGCCAGUGUCGCAUUGUAGGGAACGAAUAGGGAGAGAGAAGUGAGCUGACACGCGACAUUGAAAAUUAGCAAACAAACUAUGAACAUCCAAUUUUGCACGAAGAGGAAAGGUUUAUAUGAAGUCAGAGUAAUCAUCUAAAACAACAAGAUAAUAUUUGAAACCGGAAACACUAAGGGUAGGUGACCUCCUGGGUGGUAAGGGAGUUCAUUGCAGCAUGAAAGCAGCCUCAUCCCAAGUCGGCGCGGUUAAAGUCGAUGCAUAUGUAGUGGACUGGACGGCUGAGGAGAUGGUGUCGCUGCCUGUGCCGCUUGCUCCCAGGAUGGCGGUGGAGGUACAUGGACGAUGCCAUCGCAGCCGCAGCAGCCUAGUAGAGGGGUGCAUAGGCAGUGUAGGCAUGUGGCGGAGGAGGGGAGCCAAGGAGACCAAGAGCACCGAUGGAUGGGCGAAGCCCGGGCACCCAGGUGCCACUGCACGCCGGAGGAGCGCCGUAGGGUGAAGGCGUUGUCCAGGGCAUGGGGCCUGCAUAAGCCCCGUCCAUGGAUCAUGCUGAGGGCGCCAUGAGGAGAGCAUCGGUGAGGAGGGCACCGGAGCUCUCGCUGCGGGCGUGGACAUUGGUGUCGAAGCCGACGAGGAGGAUGGCGAUUCGUGCUUGGGCAGUCGGUAGAUUGGGUUUUUGCCCUUGUAGUUGGGGCUCGGUUGCCAGCCGGGCGGCGAGUCAGGGCCGGAUGUCGCCGGCGGUGGAGCCGGAGGAGAUGGAGCAGGGCGGGCCGCGGUGUCGAAGAGGUGCGGGGUACUGGCCUUGCGCGCCUGAUUCUGCUCCUCCAUUCGGAGAAUGGAGCGGGCCUCGGCAAGUGUCGGCAAAUGACAGAGGAGCGGGAUGAAGGUCGCCUGCCGGGCGUACCGGUUGUCGAGGCCGCCCAUGAGUGCUGAAGAAAGCAACCACCUCACCGAGUUCGCGGAGCUCGUCCCCGAUAGCCUUGAUGCAUUGGCAGAAGACACCAACAGGGCAAUCACCCUGUGUAAUGGUGCGGAGCUUGGUGUUGAGAGAGGAGACACGGGCAUCACAGUUGUCCUGAAACACCAGCCGUAGUUCGAUCCAAAUGUCGUGAGUAGUCGCGCCGUCGGUGACCACGAGGUUAAAGAGCUCGGUGGAUAUGCGUGUGUACAACCACUGGAUAAGAGCAAGAUCAUCGAGCACCUAGGGUUGUGCGGGGCUGGUUGUGAGUCGCCAGAUAUGUGGUGAAGGAGAGAACAACGGCCCAGGUGAAUCUCAAAUAGAUGUUGCGAGUGGUAAUAUUCAUGGCUAUGGAGAUCCAGAACGAUCGGGAUGAAGGGGUGAUGCCAAUAGUGUCGCUGAAAGAGAGGGAGGAGGGAAUGGUGAGAGUGGCCGGUGGCGGAGGGGGCGGUGCACUGUAGUUGGUGGGAAGAGUUGGCUGGCCGCCGGUGGUGGUGGGAAUAGUUGGCUGGCUGCCGGUGGUGGUGGGAAGGGUUGGUUGUCCACCUGUGUUGGUCAUGGCGACCGUGGGAGGGAAGGAGAGAACCAGGUGUCUGAUACCGUGAAGAUUGAAAGAUUCAAGGCUUAGUUUGGCAGCAUAGUUUUUGAAAAGCCAAAGUAUUCUAAAACCACAGUAUUUUGAUGUGUGGGAUGUGUGGGUAACAAAUACUUUGGUUUCUUAAAAACGUAGUUUCUCUCAGUUUUGUCCAGUUCACCGAAGUGUCUGGGUGGUAUUGUUUUGCUGCAGUUUUUACUACAUUGCCAAAUCAGCAUGUGCUAACUCUGCUACACCUAAAGAGCAACACGACCGGAUUAGUCAGCAAGUGCUAACAGCUGCCAGCUGCAUGUAGCCUUGCCAUGCACGAGGUCUUCCAGACCUCCUGUUUGCGAGUGUGCGCUUCAAUGGCCAACAAUCUACUCCAUGAGCUAGCUUGGCUCGAGACGUGCGGCACUGCCAGAACCCAGAAAGUAAUCGGCAACCAGUGAAUUGUUUAAAUAAGAAGUAGGAGUAACAGACAGAGGAGUCGAAGGCAGCGAUUAGAUUUUCUGAUGUGUACGUCAACAGGCUGAGUGCUCUCCCCGACAACUUCUCUAGGUUCGGUUUAGAAAAAAGUGGCCGCGACCUCUUUUUUAAACAGUAUGAGAGAUACCAGAGUAUCUUAAACCACAUUAUUUUUUUAAGCCAAAAACCUCAAAGCAUUUAAAUACCAAAGUUUUUUCAGAAACCACGGUAUUCCUAAAAAAACUCCGUAAAUGGUUCACUCCCAAACGCACCCUUGUGUUCUGUAUUGCAUUCCAAAAUACAGGUGAGCAGAUACAUAUAGGGUGCUGGGUGCAACCGCAGUAGCAGAGACGUAUAGCCGAUCGGUGUGCUGAUCGUGGGAGUAUAGGAGUGGACGAAGUCCACGCACUAACAGAGAGGAGGGAGGCACGUUGGCUCAGCGGCGCUCUGGGGAGAGUGCGGCGGCGGUAGUGGUGGGUAGGAUCGGGGAAGAAGGUCGCCGGGUCACGGUCGUGAUUUCGGCUGGGCUUAUUUUCCGCGUACCGAAUUGGGAAGUUGUGACUCGCAGGAUCCAAGAUAGACGGCAUCCACUGCGUUUGGCAGUUUUGCAAAUAAAAAAUAAAAUUGGCGUGCCAAAUACAUAUCUCAAUAGAUAAAUAGAUAGAUAGACACAUACAUGUCGCCUAAAAAAACAUACAUACAUACAUACAUACAUACAUACAUACAUACAAGGUAUUAACUAGUUAUUCAUAUAUUAAUCAACUUUCGUAAAUCAGUACGUGUGGGAAUUUUUCUUAUAGAUCCGUCUUUGCAAAACUUGAGAUGUGAAUCAGAACCACUUAGAGAUCGAUCUUGUUUCCAAGAAACAAAAGAUGGUAAAAGUUCAAAUGCAAUUUGCCAAACCAAAUACUACGUAGGAACAGUUGCUACAUUAUUAAUAGUUACUCUUAUUGCACACAACAGACAUUAGUAUUUCUUGCACAAGCAAAUCUGCUGUAAGCAAAUUCAAAAAAUUAAGGAGCAUGUACAGGAGGAGGGGAUGUCAUCGCCACUAGUAUGUCUUGUGAAGACGAUGGGUUUUUGCAAUCUGACUUGCAGUUAUCCAUAGAUUUUGAAGCAAGGAGAAAGCAAUCCGGAAAGAAAAGCACCAAUUCAUGUGUAGGAAGCAUCGAUUUAUAUGGAAGCAAGCUACAUACUACUAUACUAAAGACCUAUGUUAAAAGGACUAGCAAUCAACCUGCUGAAAUCCAGCGGCGGAAUCAGAGGUAACCAUCAUUAACUAGUUUCAGUUUUGGGAACACUCAACGGGGGAAGGUGCCUUGCUUAUCCAACGGGUGCAUGGGAUCCAAUCCGACGCCUCUCUACUGGUCUGAUAGAAUGCUAGGCAUCAGCAGUCUAAUGCCUAGCGGUUCCCUUUCCUAAUACACCCCAUAUCAACAUCUUCCGGGAGAGGAUUGACUAUCAGCAAGCUUUUUCAUAACUCGUUCUUUCAACUUAUGCCAUGGGUUUCGAGCUCUUCGGAGUCCAUAAGAUGUUACUCAAAGUACCCACUAGGCAAUGAAGCCUGGCGUUAUCAGCCGCUACCACUGAUGUUUAUGAGCAUCCGUUACCACAGUAAUGGAUACAAAUUAUUAUACAUUAAGGGACAUGUAACAUAGCUAGCUUAGGGGGACAUGGGGUAGGGUACAUCAAACUCUAUAAAAGCCUACCCCGCUUCCGCCCGGCUACAGGCUCGGAACUCAUGUAUUCUCAAACUCAUACACACUAACACCCUCUGCGAGAUAGGACUAGAGUUGUUGCGAGAUAGGACUAGAGUUAUUACCUCCAUCGUCGAGGGGCCUGAACUCAUGUAUUCCCCAUGAUGUAGUUGCGGCACGGCGACAUGUCGAUCUGCGUCUGCAUGCACCCGCUCGUCGUCGACUUCGCUGAGGCCAGGAUCGCCACAACGAUGAGCACCGCUGCGGCGAGCAUGGACGCCGCCCUCGCUGCCAUUCUUGCUCCCCUUCCUUGCUUGAACACCACCGGCCGUCUCUCUCCCUCUCUCUAGGUACCGUAGUGGUUGCCUUGCCUUGGUUUGUGCCUAGCUCUUCUCUUGCUUUAUAUAUAGGCGGAGAAGGUGGCAGCAGGAACAAGACACGACCGAGAUCGAGGGUGGUUUGGCACCACGACAUGAAUGUCUGGUGUUCCUCGCGGAUAUUGAUUGUUUUCUCUUCUAGAGAAUUAAUUAUACCAAACACCCCAAAUCAACCUCUUCCGAGAGAGGAUUGACUAUCACCAAGCUGCCCCAUAACUAGUUCUUUCAACUUAUGCCACGGGUUUCUAGCUCUUCGGAGUCCAUAAGGUGUUACUCGAACUACUGAAGCCUGGCGUUAUCAGCCACUACCACGGAUGUUUAUGAGCGUCCGUUACCACAAUAAUGGAUACAAAUUAUUAUACAUUAAGGCACAUGUAACAUAGCUAGCUUAGGGGGGCAUGGGGUAGGGUACAUCAAUCAAACUCUAUAAAAGCCUACCCUGUAUUCUCAAACUCAUACGCAAUAACACCCUCUGCGAGAUAGGACUAGAGUUGUUGCGAGAACCUCCACCGUUGAGGGGUCUGGAUCUGUAUACAUCUUUCCAUCCCACAUUCUAUCUUGAUAGAUCAAGCUCUUUUCCUCUAUCCCUCUUACUGUCAGAUUUAGCACCACGACAUUUUUUUCUUCUAUCAAAAAGGUGGUUAGACCCCCGGCCUCUGCAUCAAUCGAUGCAUACAGUCAUCUUUAUUAGUUAUUCAACAAAGGUCUGACAAGAACAUACAUCAAGCAACCCGAAACCACCACCCACACCUACAGACUCGAUAAUAUGGAGUGCUCUCACCCUUCAUAUCUAAAACCAGUGUCAUCGCCGAUCCAUCCACAUAACGUAUCGGAACCAACAGCCGGUGCAGAAGACCUAAAGCGCACAUCACAUGCACACGUUUUAGAAGCCGUCAUCAUCAUCGUGCCACUGACCCAUCUUCAGGAUAGAGAUCCGCAUCAUCCUUACCAGUCCAGACAACCGUCGACGUCACCACGCCGCGGCGCCACCGCCCUGCGUGUCCAUCUAGACGCGAAGACUCUGAAAGAUCUGUCGUGCGUAGCACCUGCCGACCAGGCAUGACACAACGUAGCACCUGUCGGCCAGGCAUGACUUGGCAUCUCCACCGAAGCUCCGUGCAAGACUAAGCCGCUCCACCUCCUGCCUCUGUCUUCCAGCGCUGCUCCACAAACGGUGCUCCCAAAAGAGGAACGACACCGUAGUACCGUCAUCGUCCGAUCUGGAUUACCAGAUCUUAGAGUUUCCCCCGAAGCAGCACGAGUGAGUCGACAUAUAUUACACGACGAUGCCUUCAUGAAGGUAACGACGCAAGACGCCGCCAUCGCCCCGCCAUCGGCUUGGUUUUCACCGGAAACUCUGUUUUCCCAACUCACAACCGGGACUAGAUGACGGAUCUGGAGAUCCGACCACCCAGCCUCAGGCUGACCAUCUCUGACGGAGGAGGUGGCCACCACCGCCACACCCAGGGCCGCAGCCCCCGCCGACGUCCUCGAGUUGCGGGUCGAUCCCAGGGACAGCAAGCCAUUGACGGAACGGUAGACGAGGUUGCGGCCCGCCGAAGCCCAUCUAGGCCCAGAUCAGGCACCGUCGCUGGACCUGCCGUCGUACGCCGUGGCCGUCCCGCACACACUGCCGUAGAUCCGGCCAUCACGGGCCGCCGCCGUCCGGACCGAAGCGCGGGCUGAGGAGAAACGCCGCCGCCGCUGCAGCACACAGGCUUUUCCUGCGACGCCCCCGGCGGCGGCGGCGGCGGCGGGAGGAGGCGCUGGAGUGAACGGGGGGAGGCGGAGGAGGCGCCGCACGGGAGCAGGAUAGGGUUAGGUGCGGGAGCGGGAUAAUGUUCCUCUUUCUCAAACGAUUCUUCUAAGGUAGCACCACGACAUGCAGCUUGGUCUUCUCCACACCCAACCACAAGCAUGAAUCUGCUCAGCUAUCCUAGCGAGCAUGGCUCAGCUAGAUCUGCCUGAGGACUAGCUCGCCUAGCUGCAGAGUGCGUGAUGCGUCCAUGCACGCACGCAUGCAUGUUCAUGUCACCUGUGUGGCUCAAGGAUGACGAUGGAAUAGAAUGUUGGGUGAUGAUGCUGAAAUAAAAAGACUUUUCCUGCCUUCUCCCGUGUUUCCAAUCUCCGUCACUUGCUAUAACUUUUUCAACCAAAAUAGCGUAGGGAAACCAUCGGAAAAAAAAAACUUACGAAAUAACUACGAAUUUUUUAGACACAAAUAAGCCGCUGAUCAGGCUGCACAUUACAGCAGGACACAUGACAUGCUCUACAAGCUAGUAAUUUCCUGGUACUGUUGCUUUCGACGAGAUUGAGUGGACUAUCACCCCAGAGGGACACAUAUAUUUGUUACUCGUGAGCGUUGAAUUCAUUCAUCAACCUUUAGUUUGCCGAUUUACCUCCCAAUUCAAGCCGGCACUGUGUUUGGGAAAUGCUACUCCCUGGCCUCUGCUUAUCAUGCCCAAUUCAUGGGGCCAUGACCACUUCAUGGGGCCUGCCAUUUGAAAAUUUCGGGCUCCUAAAAAAUGUAUUCAAAACUGGGUAUGGUUAACAGGAUCGUUUUGCCAAGUGUGGAUGGUCAAAUUGUGGGCUUCACCCAUUGUGGAACAAAAUUAUUGCAUGGCUUUGAUGACGCCAAGCCUCGUGGAUAGAGGUGGUGCACGACGGGCACAAACCAUGAAAGGCGGUGGCAUCACUCAUCAAACUUGUCUCUUGGAGGUAUGGAAUGAGCGCGAUGCAAGGGUCUUCAACAAUGCUUCUCGGUUCCUCAAUCAUCAUCUCCAAUAUACGAAAUGAGACGAGCAAUUGGGUUUAUGCCUGCUCGAAACACUAGUGUAAUUUAAUGCUAGAAAAGUAGCUUUUUAUUCCUUCAGGCUUUCAAACUUUAAUCUGAACUCUCUUUAGUUAGGACACUCGAGUAGGAUGAUGCGCGACCCAUCAUGCAUCGUUAACAUCAUGGUGCAUGAUUUUUUUUUUCAAAAUUUCCAAAAAUUUCAAAAUUGUGAACAAUUUUUAAAUUCACAUCUUUUUUCAAUUUCACAAACCAUUUUCAAAUCCAUGAUUAUUUUUUCUUCCCAUUUUCAAAUCCUUGGCAGCACCAAGCGGGCUGCCAACAUGGACGAACUACUCGGCUGACCUCUACCGAGUGGAUUUGAAUGCACUAGGUACGUCCAUACGUCCAUAAGUGUAGCCAUGCAUGCAUCAACCUUUUUGCUGACCCUAGUCAUGCCGAACUACGUACUGCAGUUCAGUAACUAGCCGGGUCGCGGCAUGUGGGGCGUUAAUUAGCUACUAAGGCUGCCAGCCAUCGAGCUCGGAGUCUCGGACCGUGCGUGUCCGCCUAUAAAUACACCGGUGUUGGCGACCACAUGCAACCACGUGACCACGUGCUGUUGUCGACGCCUCUCGCAGCGCCCCUUCCUCAGCUUUGCUGAGAGGUUCUUCCCUUAGGUGCACACAUGCACUACAUUUUCUGCCCAGCCCUCACGGCCUCCUUCUUUUUGUUAACUCAACUCAAUGCAGAUGGUCGCGGUCCCGCUGCCUAGCAAGCGGAUGCCAUUGCUGCAAGAAUGCACGAAAAUUGAAGAACGAGUCAGAAGCCUGUCAGGGAAAAAUCCACUCAAUCACCAUUUUAUUGCGCAUAGUCCAAAGGGUCCACGUCAGCGCCGCAAAGAUAAGCCAGAACAAGCGGCGAUUGCGUCCCCUCUGGGUGGCCCUAGAUUGCAGUAACUCUGCCAAAUCUAGGGCCUCCCAGUCUGACCCAAGGGCCUCGUGCACAAAGGACCAAAGUGCUUGGGCCGCGAGACAAGAGAACAUAAUAUGGGUUCCUGUCUCUGGGACGUGACAUAGGGGAUAAAUACCAUCAUCCGGGCUGUGCCGCUUAAGAACCUCUGUUCCAGAGGGAAAGCGGUCACGCAGAGGCUCUUCCCUUGGUGCGCACAUGCGCUACAUUUUUUGCCCAACCCUCAUGGCCUCUUUUUUAUUAACUCAAUGCAGUACAUAUAUAUGCACCAGGGGUCGGACACACCCACAAACCCGGCCACCACGUUGGCCACUAACCCAACUAAUUAGCUCCAUGCACUAACUACCCAUGGCCAUGUCCAGUGCGUGCGCAUCAUUGACUCAACUCUACACGACCCAUGAAUGCACGCGAACGGACUAACUAGUACACCGAUUCUCUUGGCUCCAGUCCAGCUAACCCAUUCAACCAGUCUAGCUCCAGCGCGCCUGGCCGCUUCACGCGACCGUGCCGCAUCCCAUAGCACCGCAGGCAACUCCUAACCAAUUCUACCUGCAUAACAAAAACAAACAUGCUCAUACACAUACAGGGCCGGCCCUAGAAUUAAGAAGGCCCUAGUGCAAAUGAGGUAUUAGAGGGUAACAUAAAUAAUUUCACCGGUAUAUACUACAUAUCAUGAAAAUUAUUAUAAAAAUAUAAAAAUCAAAAAUACAGUUUAUUAGCAAAUAAAGUCUUACUACACCAUAUAUAUAUGUGAUUACAUUAAAUAAUAAUUAUAAGAUACAUGUACUUAGACAUAAACAACUUACCGAAUAAAUACGAUGUGGAGAAGUGUAGGGGGGCAAAUGCCCCCGUCCACGGACAACAGUUUUGAAUAUAUGUUUCGCAAACCACAUUUUUUCUAGUUUUAUUUAGGUAUGUAUAUAUAGUGGGCCCUUAUUUGAGAUGGGCCCUAGGCCGCCGCACCUUUUGCCAUGGCCUAGGGCCGGCCCUGUACACAUAUCAAGAUUAGUGCAAACCAACUUGUGGUUGGAUAGAUAGAGGGACAGUGGUAACCCCAGCUCACCAGGGUUUAAAUCCAGCUGGGGUUUAAAUCCUGAUGCUCGCAUAAUUCCUAGAUUUAUUUCAUGAUUUCCGGCGAUGCGCUUUUAAUGGGAGAAGACGUUCGUAAAUCUCAAGAUGAUAUGUCGGCUUAGUCUCUCGAAGGUGCUCAUAGAGAUAUGAUGUGUGUGUGUGCAUUAAUAGGGAUGAGUGUAUGCGCGUAUGUAUGAGCGCUUGCGUCUGUACUGUGUUAAAAAAAAUUAGUGCUAACACCUAUUUCUAUUUUAUUUCUGGACGCACCACAGCUCAACUCAUGGAUACAACUCACGCCACAAACACACGUCCAUCAAGUACUCCUUGAAAGCUCUCCAUGACCUAGCUACACAACUAACAGACAUGCAUGCACUAACAAUCCAUCUCUGAACUAACUUCCGUCCGGUUGAUCAGGCUUCAACCCCACACGCACCUUCUGUUCGACGCGGCCGUAUGCUUCUGCUGUGCCUCUGAUGAGCCAGGUCUCCUGCUCAGACGAGCGUUCUAAUUAUCCGUAUGAAACGGUCACAAAUGCUCAAUCCGACGAAGACAAAAUCCACAAACUCGGCAUGGAAUACACCUCGUCCGAAUACAUCAUGUUUGCUUCAAAGUAUACAAAUGUAACAUCCUUUGAGUUAAACGUGUUUGGGAAUUUUUACUGUUAACAUGGCAUGCCUCGUUCACUACUGCCGGAUUACUGUUUCCGGUGAAAAGAUUGAUAAAUCUCCCACAUACCUAUAAGGAACACGGUACUAGCUCUGCCAACUCUAAGGAUGUUACUGUCCUCACGCGUGAUCACUGGAAAGUGAAUAUUAACUAGUUUUAGCCACUUGCACUCUUAUUCUUUGGAUAAUUACCAGUCAGUAAGAGCCCUACUCUCUUCCCAGGAUCUCCAAGACUAUUUCCACUUAACCUCUCAGAGGAAGCUUUUUUUCAAUGCAACCUUAUGCGCAUGUCUUGUGAAAUGAUUUCUCCCUUUCUGAUCAGCCAGAAAUAUGUCGUUUCCAUGGCCUGCAAUUACAUUUCAAUGUAUAUCAAGCCUAUAGUUUGUUAAUUGGAAAUCACCCAACUAUCGCGGCAGUGCAUUUGGCAAAACAUGGUGUCAGAGUAAACAUAAAGAUUUUUGUGGUUGUUUAUCAACAAUGGAGUCAACAUCAGAGAAUUAUACCACAGAAAAAAAAUUAUUCAUCCCUCACUAAAGCUAUGUCAUGCGUCGGGAAUGGAGUAAAGGUUGUUGUCAAAGCCAUAUGGGUCUUACCUCUGCUUCUAUGUGGGGGUUUAUAUUAGAACUUAGUACUCCCUCCGUAAAGAAAUAUAAGAGUGUUUAGAUCACUAUUUUAAUGAUCUAAACACUCUUAUAUUUCUUUACAAAGGGAGUAUAUAUUUGUUAUUAUGUUUCGGCCUUAUGCAAGAACAUAAUGAUACAUCCCGCUCAAAUAGUUGUAGUAAACGAUGGUCAUCGGAUCACGAUAUCAAGAGCGUAUUGGUGCUGAGACAGGCACAAUUCAGCUGAGCCGCGGUGAACGUUGACACCCAGCGAGGAACUUUGUAAAUGGGGAACGAAAGCACACCUCUGUGCCAACAAAGAAUUUGUACUUUGUACAAGAUGCCAGCUGGUGGCCAGACAUGAUCGCGCCGGGCUGCGGGUCGGAACAAAAUACGGAACGAAUUAGCUACUUAUCAGUCGACUGAUUUUUCAGUUUGGGGUAAGUCAAUUUUUGAACGAAGGAAAGACCUCGCCGGAGAUAAGGAAAGACCUCGCCGGAGAUAAGGAAGGGACUCGCAUGAUUCUGGAAUAAAAUGUUGGGUCAUGAACUCAUGAUCGGUGCUGGAAUAAAAUGAGUUUUCCUACCUUCUCCUCCGUUUCCUCCCUCUGUCACUUGCUGCAAUCUUUUCAACGAAAACCACGUACAAGAAUUGGCAACCGUCCGAAAUACGCCCGAAGUUACGAUGAGUCACUCACAAAUAAGCCGCAGGACGCUGCACAUUGCAGCAGAAAACAUGAGAUGCUCUACAAGCUAGUAAUUGCUUUGCUGUACUGUUGGUUCCAUCGGGAUUGAGCACAAGAAGGCACACCUUUGAUUACUUGUACGAUGUGUGGCUUUAAACACUAUGUCACCUGCUCAUUAACUCGUGUGCAUUGAAUUCAUUUAUCAACCUUUAGUUUGGUGGUAUACAUUCCAAGUUCAGCUCCAUAUAAUCAAGCCCGCACUUUUUUUUGGAAGGGCAAAAGAUUUGACACAUUUAUUAAUUAAGAAUGAGCUUAACAAAGUCACUAACCCGAAGGCGAAAGAAAUGCCUACUCUCCAGACAUAAUAUCACUCAAGUGCCGAGCCCCGGCUAACACCCACUUGCACGUUUCAUCUCGGAUCUUGUCGAUGACUCUCAAGAUGUUGUUGAAGACUCUCGGGUUGCCUCAUUCCAAAUUACCCAUGGACGUUACUCCAUGGCCUCUGCUUAUCAUGCACAACUAAUGGGGGCACGGUCACUUCGUUUUAGUCUACCAUUUAUAAAAUUUGGGCUCUUGAAAGUUUUUGGGCAUGGCACUAUUCACAUCUCGACUUGUCUUUUUUGUUUCUCUUUGUAUAUUUCGGAUUUUGAUCUGAAUUUUUAGGGGUUGUAGACACAUGUGUUCUGAAACUUCACAAAAAUAUUACACAUCUAAAAUUGAAAUUUUCAAACUGGUAUCAUGGGAGCACUUACAAUACUGGAAAAACUGUCUACGCUGAGUUAUUUCAGCUAAGCCGAGAGCCAAAGUGCUGGCUCUCGGCAAAUUGGAUGAAUACCUUACUUCUAGUAUCUUUCCGGCAUUGGUGGAACAUAAUUCAGAUCCGUAUCACACUGAAACUAGUUGAAGUCAUCCUUGUCAUGAAGGAGAAUGUAGUUAUGCAGUGUCAUAAUUGCCGCAACAAUCAAUUUCUGUGUUUCAAUCAAUCUUGAGCAGUAUUUUCCAUUUCAUUUUCAGAACACCAAAGGCCCUCUCUAUGCAAUUGCAUCCGCUUGGAGGAGUGGAUCUUUUUUAACUUCUCCAUAGGAUUAGUAGGGGGUGCACCUCUCCGCAUGGUGCUUUUCCUGAAAGUCACAUCCCCGUUCGGUAUCCCGCAACUUGAGUUUCGAAAAUAUGUUGUGAUCACCUUUUAGCUUGUCCUAUUUGAUUUUAAAUCAGACAUGUUUGUAGUCGAGCCCGAUUCACAUCUUGAAUUUCCUUCACACCUCCUCAAAUACAUUUGGCAUCAAAUAAUUGUUUGGCCUAUUUGCAUCCUUCACUUGCUCCACAAACAACUCAGUGAGAAUCCUAGUAUUUUCGUCAUAGGUCCAUUCGGUGGCCAUGCUCAACAAUUGUCUGAGAAAAUGCUCACAUGUCCUAGGAAAAUACACAUGGAUUGGAGCGAAGGUGCUUCUGUGUAUAGCCAAACUCUUGUAAUAUAAAUUGAUGAUGCCCGGCCUGUUGUUGGGGGAAGCUUGUUAAAUAAAUGCAUUCAUAGUUGCUAAGACAGUCUGAUGAAAAGCAAAUGUAAGCUUAUAAAACUAUAGAAACUGAGAACUGUGUAAAAAGAUAAAAAAUAAAUUCAGUUAAAAGAAUGCUAUUUCUAACAAAAACAUGAAGGAUGAACUACAUAGGUAUGCUGCAAUCGCCUAACACAUAUAUUGUCAAUAAAAAGUCUAGUGUAGAAAAUUAACUUAUGACCAACAUGUAUUAAUUGAUGAUGUGGCAAUGUUGUGUGCAUAGAUUAGUGCAAAAAAAUAACUUAUGACUUACAUGCAUGCCUUGCUUAUGUGGCAUGGUGGCAUGACUAAGAAAAAUAGGUAAUGGUUUGUAGCUAUUUAGGAAUAGAGGGUGCGUUCAAUUUUUUUAUUGUGUCCAUAUGCGCAUCUGCCCAUUAUUUGCACACAUAUAAACGCAUCCCAGUAUACUUGGCACACUUCAAAUUAAGGAGCUAGGGUACAUUUGCACACGUUGCACAAAAAUCACUACACAUCAUACAUUCAAAGAUAGCACCACAAGAAAGUAAAAUACCCAUCACCAUACCUGCCACAGGCAGAGCUUGGGGAAGUAGUACAAGGGGAGCUCACCACGGGUUUGAGCGAGGACUACCGUCUGGGUCAGCCCGGAAAGGAUGGCAAGCUUAGAGGUGCGGGGCAAAUGGGUAAGCGUCAGUGGGGAAGCUCGACAGUCGGCGAUGGGGUAGUUGUGUGCCUAGGGUUUGCAUCACAAGGUCGAANNNNNNNNNNNNNNNNNNNNNNNNNNNNNNNNNNNNNNNNNNNNNNNNNNNNNNNNNNNNNNNNNNNNNNNNNNNNNNNNNNNNNNNNNNNNNNNNNNNNNNNNNNNNNNNNNNNNNNNNNNNNNNNNNNNNNNNNNNNNNNNNNNNNNNNNNNNNNNNNNNNNNNNNNNNNNNNNNNNNNNNNNNNNNNNNNNNNNNNNNNNNNNNNNNNNNNNNNNNNNNNNNNNNNGGCAGAGGGGGAAUCUACUCAAUCCUACCUAACCUACCUAACUAAAUACCCCUGAAUUUCACUAUCAUGAUGUGGAUCCCCAGCGAGGCAUUACAGGCGCGGCCACCACUGCAAUGGGUGGGUGGCGGUGCUUGCGGUCCUCUCACUGACGUUCUUCCAAAAGUGGCGACAAUGUUGCUCUGUCAUAAUACCAAUCUUGAUCUACUUAUCAUCACAAGAAACACCUAUGCAGCGAAGGUGAAGAUUUUAACCAUGGGGCGGCAUCACCCUAGGUUGAUACUCUAGAAGAAGGCCGCAAUAGAGAAACACCAGACGAGGGCAAAGCAGAGAAGCAAAGGAUGGAGAGGCGAUGGUGGCACCGUCCUUGCCCCAAACGUAGUUGUGUUCGCCUCGCUUUGUCGCCUUCAGGAAAAGCAAGUACACCCUUAUGUUUUUUCCUAUUAAGUAUUUUCUCAUCUUAGUUAUGAAAGAGAGAAUACUAAUUGCAUGUUGUAUACCAUCUUCUCAAUUUUUCCAAGAGUUUAGAAGGAAUUGCAACAACAUAUCAAGUGUUACUGUCCUUUGGCUGUUUACGGUGGUGUGUACGAGUUUGGAGCAUAUGUUGCUAGUGAUGUUUUUGUCCACAUGGGUGGCGGCAUAAUGUAUGUACUCCCUCCAUCGAAAUAUAUAUGGCCUAAUACAUUUUUCGAGGUUGCCUUUGACCAUUGAUAAAAUUGUUAAUAUAAGAGAUGUACGAUAUAAAUUAAGAACACAUUUCACAUACGAAUUUGACGGUAUGCUUCGUGUAGCAUGCAUGCCAUAUAUUAUUGAUCUAACAUGUGGUAAAACUUAACCUUGAAAACUUAUUAUGCCCUAUAUUUUUUAUUGGAGGGAGUAUAGGCUUUCCACUCCAUACAUCUAGGCAUAGUCACGGUCUUGUUUGACUUUGCUUUUACCGGCAUAGUACUUUGUGCGAGUUUGCAUUGGUUGUGUGUAUUCUGGUUAUGUAGAGGUGUGGGUAUAAACUCAUUAGCUUGUAUCACCUUGAUGCCAUAUUAUGUGUCAAUAAACACCCUUAUUUAUCAAAAAGAACUCUCCUCACAUCUUCCCACAUAACUUUUGGGAUAUUCUCAGAAUUAUACAAGGGGAGAUGUUGUACCACGGGUAGUGUUAAGAGUAUGAUUAGCUGAUUAUUGUUAAUUAGGUUGCUUAUUGCUACUCAAUAAAGACUAGUUAGAUGCAUUUAUUUGUCUAUCUGUCUCGUUCUUUACUUUAACACAACCAAAGGAAAUGGAUGUGGAUGGAAGUACUACACGGAGCGAGCCAGCAGGCAGCCAUCAUUGACGAACUACCCCGCUGACCCUCUACCCACUGGGUUUCAAUGCAGAACGUCCCUAGGUGUAGCCAUGCAUGCAUGAAUGCAUCAACCUUUUUGCUGACCGUAGUCAGGUCGAACUAGUAGUGCAAGUGCAAUUCAGUACCAGGGUGUUCAACUGAUAAUUGCACAGGACGAGAGCGAUUGAUAAUGCGGGAUUGUUCUACUGUCUUAAUCAACCACCUGCUCCGUCGGCGGCCAUGGCCACGUAUUCGGACGGUGCAUGGCCAGGCCAGCUAUAAAUACCCCAGGAGUUCCAGCACCCCUCUCCUCACCACCAUCUCUCCCAUUCCCAUCACACAAGACACAACGUACACCUCUGCGACCGCGAUAGCGAGAGUGGAAGAGUAGAUCGACGGGCAUGGCGAUAUGAGGAAGGAGGUCCUCCUGGCGGCCAUGAUGCUGGCGCUGGUGGUGGCGGCGCCGGGCGGGGCGCGUGCCGCGUGCGUGGUGGGGCAGCUGACGGUGUGCAUGCCGGCGAUCACCACCGGUGCCAAGCCGAGCGGCGCGUGCUGCGCCAACCUGCGCGCGCAGCAGGCGUGCUUCUGCCAGUACGCCAAGGACCCCUCCCUCGGCGCCUACAUCCGCAGCCCCCACGCGCGCGAGACCCUCGUCACCUGCGGCCUCGCCGUCCCGCACAGCUAGGCGCCAGGCCGCCUAGCGAGUAUGUAUGGCUCAGCUAUAGCUGCCUCCGCCGUCCAUCAGAUGAGAGAUGAGACUAUAGCUAGCCUAGCUGGUGAGUGCGCGAUGCGUCCAUGCCGCAUGCAUCCAUGUUCCUGUUCGAUGGAUGAUGAUGGAAUAAAAUAAAAGAUGUUGGGUGAUGAUGCUGGAAUAAAAUGACCGACUUUUGUUAACUUCAUUCUCCUCUGCUUCCUAUGUCCGUGGUUACUUGCUGUAAGAUUUCAACCAAAAUUACUACGAUCGGGUUUUGUACUUGUAGACACAAGUAAGCCACUGGUGAUUGCCUGAUACUCCUACAUUGCAACAGCUAACAUGAGAUGCUCUACAAGCUAGUAACUGCCUGCUGCUACUACUGUCGCUUUCAACGGGAUUGCUUGUGUGUAUAUGCGAUGUGUGGUGUGACUUUAAACACUGUGGCGCGUACUCAUGUGCGUUGAAUUCAUUUAUCAGCCAGCAAUCAAGUUCAGCUCCAUACAAUCAAGCCGGCACUAUUUUUUUUCCGCAAAGGGCAAAACAUUU
rnacentral:lncRNA from 1 species